AAGUUGAAGAGUCAAAUGAUGAAUAAACUCUGCUAAAAAAAUAAGCAAAACUUUAUGAAGUGGAUAAAGUGGUCAAAUAACGAAUCUCAUUUUCCGAACUCAUUAUCUCGUGGGGAACCCGGUGAGUCAACUCGUGGCGACCGAGUCACAUCUCCUCUGCAUAACGCCUGAAUCGAAUUUGAUACCGACUGUGGUGAAAAAGGUUGAAUCAUCCACUUUACAGAAGAGACAUUAUGCUCACUUUUGACGACGUCCUGUAGCUAUCAUCGCCAUCAAAUAUCGGGUAGGUUGGGUGAGACAAUUGAUAAAAUGCGAUGCAGGGAUACCGGGCGAUGGUAGGUGUCUGUUCCGGUCUGUAGUUCACGGUGCUUGUCUAAGGGCCGGAAAGCCCUCUCCAAAUGAAAGCCACGAGAAGGAACUUGCAGACGAGCUUCGUGCAGCUGUAGAAAUCUCUUCCUUUUGAUGUUUUGUCUGUCACUGAGGGAAUUCAUGUGCUUGUUUUGCAUCUUGCUUAGAAAGAUGGGAUCCCUCGUGUUUUUUUGCAGGUUGCCGAUGAAUUUAUCAAGAGACGAGCUGAUUCUGAAUGGUUCAUUGAAGGUGAUUUCGACUCUUAUGUUGCGAAGAUGCGACAGCCACACGUGUGGGGAGGGGAACCGGAGCUGCUAAUGUCGUCGUAUGUUCUACAGUAGGUGUUCUUCUGUUUUGUUUCUUGGAUCUUAUCUUUUCCACUCUGGAAAGACCCUCUUUAUCCAUGGAGAAAUUGUCAUCACUCUGUGUUUCUUCGUCUAAGUUAUCUUGAUGAAGUGUUUGUAAAAGAAUAUGUCGAGGAAUAUGUUUUCAGGUUGCCAAUAACUGUUCACAUGUGGGAUAAGAAGAAGAAUUCCCUUAAGGUUAUAGCUGAAUACGGUCAAGAAUAUGGGAAGGAGAAUCCGAUUCGUGUAUUGUACCAUGGCUACGGGCACUAUGAUGCGUUGCAGAGCCC